rnacentral:rRNA from 1 species
UACGUAGGGUGCGAGCGUUGUCCGGAAUUACUGGGCGUAAAGGGCUCGUAGGCGGCCAACUAAGUCAUACGUGAAAUCCCUCAGCUUAACUGGGGAACUGCGUCUGAUACUGGAUGGCUUGGAUUCGGGAGAGGAAUGCGGAAUUCCAGGUGUAGCGGUGAAAUGCGUAGAUAUCUGGAGGAACACCGGUGGCGAAGGCGGCAUUCUGGACCGACAUUGACGCUGAGGAGCGAAAGCGUGGGGAGCGAACAGG